ensembl:snoRNA
UAUACUUUUAAAAGUUGAGAAUGUUGCAACAAAGACUUACAGGUGCAAACAGUAAAUCCUCUUUUGCAACCCAGAACUCAUUGUUGAGUAUGAGUUUUCACAUAUAUAACAAGGAAUAUG